AUCCAGCUGACGAGUCCCAAGCAGGACAAAACACGCGUCCUGGAU
rnacentral:hammerhead_ribozyme from 1 species